GGAAACGUAGGUCACCACACUGGGGGUGUGGUGGUCGCUGGUUCAAAUCCAGCCGUCCCGACCA
rnacentral:tRNA from 1 species